CCUACGGGUGGCUGCAGUAGGGAAUAUUGCUCAAUGGGGGAAACUCUGAAGCAGUAACGCCGCGUGGAGGAUGAAGGUUUUCGGAUUGUAAACUCUUUUUGUUAGAGAAGAUAAUGACGGUAUCUAACGAAUAAGCACCGGCUAACUCCGUGCCAGCAGCCGCGGUAAUACGGAGGGUGCCAGCGUUACUCGGAAUCACUGGGCGUAAAGAGCGCGUAGGCGGGAAAGCAAGUCAGAUGUGAAAUCCUAUGGCUUAACCAAAGAACUGCAUUUGAAACUAUAAUUCUUGAGUGUGGGAGAGGUAAGUGGAAUUCGUGGUGUAGGGGUGAAAUGCGUAGAGAUCAAGAGGAACACUAGUUGCGAAGGCGACUUGCUAGAACGUAACUGACGCUGAUGCGCGAAAGCGUGGGGAGCAAACAGGAUUAGAUACCCGUGUAGUC
rnacentral:rRNA from 1 species